GGCUAAGAACCGGCUGCCGAGCCUCUGGGGGCGGAGGAGAAGCGGCGCAUCCGCAGGUGAGAGCCGCGCGGGGUCCGGUCCAGGUCGGCACCCCCUCCCGGUCUCCCCGCCGCCUCUCGGCCAGGACGCCGCGCACCCACCGGGCAGCACCCCCUAACCCGGGGCCCGCCGGUCUCCACGGGACUGCGCGACGCUGUGGAACAUUUUGGAACCGGGCAGCGGUCCUUCUGCCUGUCCUGUCGCUGCCUGGCAGUUACAGUCUUUCCCAGCAGAGAACACUGCGUGGGGGACCGUCGUCCUCUUGCAGCUCUGGCCCGGGAGUCCCGGUCCGGCACCUGGACGACCCUGCGUCCACACCUGGACGGUGCAUAGAAGCUUGCACCUGAGCGUCGGAUGCAAAUUCCAGCCUCGGUUUCGCUAACUGUGGCCUGGGGUCUGUCUCCCCACCCCCACCCCGUGGGCUUGACGUGCGCAGUAACGGAGACCCGGGGCACGUGGUGCUCGGCCGUGCCCGUCCUGCCUCUGCACCCUUUGGGACCAUCCCAGCGGCCGCUGUGCACAAAAAGUGGGGCCGGGGAGCAGGACUUUGUCUCCUAGGCGGUUACUGACUUGCUGGCACCCCACAAGCCUAAGCAGCUCAGUUAGCCAGCUACUGUCAUUUCCUCCACCGGGAUCCGGCUUCUUAAGAAGCCAGUAAGAGCUGAUGGGGACUGUUACGAAACAUACCAGCAGGACCUGCUUCUUAGGGGAAAUGCUCGAUUUUGGACGGGACCGAAGGCUUGCCUGGUCACUGGCGCCAUCUACUGGUUACACUGACUUACUGCUCCGACGAGGGACCAUGGCCGGCGCAGGGUCCCCCGACCUGCCUGAAGAUCAGUGGCAGGUCGACCACUCAUUCAGUGAGUGCCUGCUACCUUCGUCCGCUGACACACAGACCCUUCCUCUCUUGGAGGACUGGAUCAUCGUUCGUCUUCCGUCUACUUCUCUCCCAGAAUAUAAUUUUAAGCACUAGCAGUUGUCAGUGUCUCAGGCUUACCAAGCACUCUAGCUUGUCUGAGCCUCAUACCCACAUCCUGGAGCGAGUGAGCGACAGGGCAUCUCAGGAAGGCCUCGCGAAUGGCACACACAGCAGACCAGCAAGAGGUCCUCAGGCUUGGAAACUGCUGAGAUGACCCGCACUGUGCAGUGAAAACUGAUUAUUGAGUCAGAAGAUGUUUUUGUUGCGUGGUCUCUCACGACGCUUCCGACCAGGUGGCAGGCGCUGUGCCGUGGCUGUGGGGAGGACACGAGAACCCUGCUCAGGGUCCCUGCUCCCACGGAGCUUAAGGCCCGGUCAGGAGGCAGGUAUUACAUACAUGGUUCUAGAAUUGAAAAGCAAUGACCGCUGAGGUGAGUGCUUUGGAUGGUGAAGGCUGUGCUGGGAGAGACCCUGGCUGGGUGGGGUGGGGUCUGUCGGGAGGGGAGAAGACGGCAGGGGUGGUCCGGGCUGCCUGCUCCCACAGUGUGUGGGCAAGGUGUGGGCAAGGCGCAAGGACGCAGUCGGCCGGGAUGGCUAGAGCACCAGGAGCAGGAGGGAGGAGCAGAGGUCUAGGCUGCAGCCCCAGGCUGUAGGCACGGAUGGUGUGACCUUGGGGGUGUCCUUCCACCUUUCUGAGCUGCAGCUUCCUCUUCCGAAAACACAUCAUAGUCAUAGCAGAGCGCCCCGGAGAGGCCGGGAGGGUUAAGACGGAUGAUGUGAGUGGCUCGUAAGUCACGCACUGGGAAGGUGUCUUGGGGCCGACGGAGGGGUCACAGAUGCCGAAAGCAUCCGGAGGUGUGUAUGAGUCAUGCUGACUUUCCGAGUUUCAGAGGGACAGGGAAGGAGGAGUUAAAACCUGCAGGUGUUGGUUUGCUCUAGAUCGCUAGACCUAGACCUGCUCGCGCCUAUCCCAGGCUUUCCUCUCUGCUCAGAUUAGGAUUGUCCAUUUGGGUCCCUGGACAGGGCAGGACCCACCCCACACGCGGCAGUAGGGUCACAGUUUUCCAUACAGGGCCAUCGUGAGGGAUCCGGGCUGGUGUUUUUAUGGCUUUUCCAUGAGUAGAAUCUCUAGUCUGUUGCCUCAGAUUUGUUCACUUGACUCCUAAAACCUCCUUUGUAAAUCUUUGCUUGUGUUUGUACACUCAGUUCCACACACCCUAUUCUGUAAUUCCAAAACCCACAGUGCUCUGAAAAUAAAAAAUGUCGUUUCUGACUCAUUUGGUGGCAA